UACGUAGGGGGCAAGCGUUGUCCGGAUUUACUGGGCGUAAAGAGCUCGUAGGCGGUUUGUCGCGUCUGCUGUGAAAUCCCGAGGCUCAACCUCGGGCCUGCAGUGGGUACGGGCAGACUAGAGUGCGGUAGGGGAGAUUGGAAUUCCUGGUGUAGCGGUGGAAUGCGCAGAUAUCAGGAGGAACACCGAUGGCGAAGGCAGAUCUCUGGGCCGUAACUGACGCUGAGGAGCGAAAGCGUGGGGAGCGAACAGG
rnacentral:rRNA from 1 species